rnacentral:misc_RNA from 1 species
GUGAAUCAUCGAAUUUUUGAACGCAAAUUGCACUCUCUGGCAUUCCGGAGAGCAUGCCUGUUUGAGGGUCAGUUUAAAUAAAAAUCGAGGUGUUGCUGUUUUGUGACCCAUCGGAAUUGGGUUAUCUUUGACCUUUUAUAAAGUUUAAGUGACCUAAAAUUGAUACCUUGUGCAUCUCAGACGUACAUAAGAAUAUUUUUUAUUCGGCCGGGGGUGCCAAAUUUUUUUUUGGGUUUGCC